UGGGGAAUUUUGGACAAUGGGCGAAAGCCUGAUCCAGCAAUGCCGCGUGUGUGAAGAAGGCAGUUUCGGGUUGUAAAGCACUUUUGUCCGGAAAGAAAUCCUUGGCUCUAAUACAGUCGGGGGAUGACGGUACCGGAAGAAUAAGCACCGGCUAACUACGUGCCAGCAGCCGCGGUAAUACGUAGGGUGCAAGCGUUAAUCGGAAUUACUGGGCGUAAAGCGUGCGCAGGCGGUUUGCUAAGACCGAUGUGAAAUCCCCGGGCUCAACCUGGGAACUGCAUUGGUGACUGGCAGGCUAGAGUAUGGCAGAGGGGGGUAGAAUUCCACGUGUAGCAGUGAAAUGCGUAGAGAUGUGGAGGAAUACCGAUGGCGAAGGCAGCCCCCUGGGCCAAUACUGACGCUCAUGCACGAAAGCGUGGGGAGCAAACAGGAUUAGAUACCCUGGUAGUCCACGCCCUAAACGAUGUCAACUA
rnacentral:rRNA from 1 species